rnacentral:lncRNA from 1 species
CUCUCUCUUCAUUUCUCUCUAUAAUCUUCAGCCUCAUAUGUCAUCCCUCCCCUCUAAUCUUCUCGGCCUGCAACCUAAAACCAAAACAACCCACACCCCCAUUUCUGCAAAUCUCGACCUCUCGCUUCAUCGAACAUGUCUUGAAACAUAGAGAAAGUACUCUUUGUACCUGCGGUUCUGAAAUCCAAAACCCAGCUUAACCAUCACCGAUGCAAGCCCACAAUAUCGUCUGCACCGCAUUUGAGCAGAAAUAUGCUCAGAGAUCAGAGAGUCAAGCAACCCACAAACUGAUCUAAACCGAUACAUAUGCACAAAGGUAAACAACCUCAUUUUCUUAGACAUCUCCGUUUCUAGUUUCGUUUUUUAUUAGAAAAUAGACGAAACCCUCGUGCAUGUGUGCUUUCAAUGCAGGUUCAACAAUCAGCAGAAUGGUCAAGAACACGAAUAAAGUGACUGCAGAAUUUCAAAUCCGCCUAAUACAAGCGGAAAAAUCGAGGUUCUAGAUCUGCAAGAAAAGGUAUAAGGCCUCUUUCCCCAAACUCGAGCUCAAUCUUGUGCAUUCCAUAUCUCGAGAUGAAUCAUCUGGGUUUUGUUCUAAUAAUCUUACAAAUUUGUUGAGCAAUUUUUGUAAAGUCGGAAUCUUUAGUUUCAGUUGUAAGGUAUCUGAUUUGGGAAUUUGUGUUUUGCAGGGCAAUUUCUUACAAAUAUGUUGAGCAGGUUCUAGAUCCGCUGUUGUUGCUGUUACGAGACUUGUGAGUGCUGCUGAUUUGGGAAUUUCGGUUCUAAUAAUCUUACAAAUUUGUUGAGCAACUUAUGUCUUUCUCUCUCUAUCUAUGAAUUGAAUGCGAAACUCUGUGUUGAUAUGGAAAAUGAAGCUCGAAAUUAUUACACAAAUGGCGGAAAAAAAAAGUUCGAGUGUGAAGUUUCACUUACUGGUAGAUGGCUUUCGAAACAGGGUUGUCCAGACUGCAGAAGAAAUCCAUGGCUUUUGGA